AAUUGGGCGUGCAAAAUUACGUACUCUCAGAAGGCAGCCUGACCUCCGCCCCCUUUUUCUCAGUCUUUUCUUCACGCAAAUGAUAGGGAUUUGGGCCUGUUCCCUGGAAAACAGUAUAUCCUUUGCGUCGGACUCGUUAAAGGAAAAUGCUUCUACCUGAGAGUUAUCCUGUCUGAAGAGCCGUUCCAGUUCCUUCCGUCUGGAUGACUUCACUGACCCAGUCACCUUCUCACGUGGACACAACUUCUGCAAGUCCUGUAUUAGUGGAUACAGGGAUACCACUGACCUCUCGUAAAUAGGAUCACUUCCAGGAAGUUGUCUCCGGUUAAAGUCACAACCAUCAACCCAGAAGUUGACCUACACCUCAUCAAACCAGGAGAAGUGUCCUGUGAUGUCUGUACCGAGGGUGAGCACAAGGCCCUGAAGUCCUGUCUGGCGUGUCUGGUCUCUUACUGAGAGACUCACCUGGAGCCUCCUCAGAGAGUGGCGUCCUUGACGAGACACAAGCCGAUCGACCCUGUGGACAACCUGGAAGACAGGCUGUGUCAGACACACAGCAGACCCCUGGAGAUGUUCUGCAGGAGAGACCUGACGUGUGUGUGUCAAAUCUGCACCGAGACAGACCACAAGACUCACAAGACUGUCCUAUAGAGGAAGAGUGUGGAGAGAGGAAGGCUCAGCUGGAGAAGACUAAAGGGAAAGUGCAGCAGAUGAUCCAGGAACGAAAG